UACGUAGGGUGCGAGCGUUGUCCGGAAUUAUUGGGCGUAAAGAGCUUGUAGGCGGUUUGUCGCGUCUGCUGUGAAAAUCCGGGGCUCAACCCCGGACUUGCAGUGGGUACGGGCAGACUAGAGUGUGGUAGGGGAGACUGGAAUUCCUGGUGUAGCGGUGAAAUGCGCAGAUAUCAGGAGGAACACCGGUGGCGAAGGCAGCUUGCUGGGACGGUACUGACGCUGAGACGCGAAAGCGUGGGGAGCAAACAGG
rnacentral:rRNA from 1 species